AGAGUUUGAUCCUGGCUCAGAUUGAACGCUGGCGGCAUGCCUUACACAUGCAAGUCGAACGGCAGCACGGGAGCAAUCCUGGUGGCGAGUGGCGAACGGGUGAGUAAUAUAUCGGAACGUGCCCAGUCGUGGGGGAUAACGCAGCGAAAGCUGUGCUAAUACCGCAUACGAUCUACGGAUGAAAGCGGGGGAUCGCAAGACCUCGCGCGAUUGGAGCGGCCGAUAUCAGAUUAGCUAGUUGGUGGGGUAAAAGCCCACCAAGGCGACGAUCUGUAGCUGGUCUGAGAGGACGACCAGCCACACUGGAACUGAGACACGGUCCAGACUCCUACGGGAGGCAGCAGUGGGGAAUUUUGGACAAUGGGCGAAAGCCUGAUCCAGCAAUGCCGCGUGCAGGACGAAGGCCUUCGGGUUGUAAACUGCUUUUGUACGGAACGAAACGGUCUCUUCUAAUAAAGGGGGCUAAUGACGGUACCGUAAGAAUAAGCACCGGCUAACUACGUGCCAGCAGCCGCGGUAAUACGUAGGGUGUGAGCGUUAAUCGGAAUUACUGGGCGUAAAGCGUGCGCAGGCGGUUAUAUAAGACAGAUGUGAAAUCCCCGGGCUCAACCUGGGACCUGCAUUUGUGACUGUAUAGCUAGAGUACGGUAGAGGGGGAUGGAAUUCCGCGUGUANCAGUGAAAUGCGUAGAUAUGCGGAGGAACACCGAUGGCGAAGGCAAUCCCCUGGACCUGUACUGACGCUCAUGCACGAAAGCGUGGGGAGCAAACAGGAUUAGAUACCCUGGUAGUCCACGCCCUAAACGAUGUCAACUGGUUGUUGGGUCUUCACUGACUCAGUAACGAAGCUAACGCGUGAAGUUGACCGCCUGGGGAGUACGGCCGCAAGGUUG
rnacentral:rRNA from 1 species